rnacentral:rRNA from 1 species
AUGGCCAAAGAAACGCAGUCGAGCAACUCACGCCAGGCGGCGGAUUCCGCCGGCCCAAAGGGCCGAUGGAAAGCAAGGCGCCCUAAGUCAAGAAGGGCCCUAUCAAAAUGGCCAAGUAGGUCGGCCUCCUUCCUUGAGGAGCUCCACCGAAAGAUCUCGGCCGCCUCCCUCCCCGUGGUCGUUGGGUGCGACUUCAACCAGCUGCGCGUAGCGGAGGACAAGAGCAAUGGCAAUGUUUGCUUUGCCCGGAUGCAAUUGUUUAACGACUUCAUUGCCGACCUCGCCCUCCGGGAGAUUGAUCGGGUUGGGGCCCGAUUUACCUGGACCAACCGACAGGCCUUCCCGACCCUGUCCGUCUUGGACAGGGUCCUAGUUUCCCCGGAAUGGGACCUCCGUUGCCCCCUAGCCUCUCUCCGCUCCAUCACCCGGAUUGGUUCGGACCAUAUCCCCUUGCUUCACUCCUCCACGGACGAACGUCCGCCGAUCCCCCCUCAUUUCCGCUUCGAGACUUUCUGGCUAACCCAGGCGGGUUUUACCGACGCUGGUUGGGGGGCCAACCUGGGCCGUGACGCCAGGGAGCGUAAGAAGGCGUUGCUCACCGCGAUCCAGGCCCUCGACUUUCGGGCUAACGUGGUGGGUCUCUCCCCGGAUGAGUGGCUUUCCCGCUAUGACCUUGAGGACCAGCUCUCCGUGAUUUACACCGAUGAGGAAGCAUAUUGGCGCCUACGGGGCGCUCAGCGUUGGGUCCUGAAGGGAGACGCGAAUGCGGCUUACUUCCAGGCGAUUGCCAACGGCCACCGUAGACGCAACACCAUCCCCUGCCUGUGGGAUGGGGAAACCCUCCUUCAGGAUCCCCGUGACAUACGGACCCAUGUUGACGGUUUCUAUCGGUCCCUCUUCUCUCCCGCUCCAAGGAGCGGCAUCUCUCUCACCCCCGAUUGUUGGGCCGGCGCCCAACUAGUUUCUGACGCAGAGAACGCGUCCCUGACGGCUCCCUUCUCUGAGCAGGAGGUCUGGGAGGCCAUCAAGGGUAUGAACUCCUCCUCAGCGCCGGGCCCGGACGGUCUUCCGGUCAUCUUCUUCCAGACCUUCUGGAACGUGAUUAAACCAGAGUCUGUGGCCAUUGCCAACAGACUUAAUUGCCGCCUGGGCUCUUUCCCCACUACCUACCUUGGGACGCCCAUUAGUGACUCGCGUCUCUCUAUCGCGGACCUACGGCCCUCCGUGACCAAGCUCCAGUCCUGGUGCGAGCCCUGGCAGGGGAGGUGGCUCUCUAAGGCGGCCCGGACUAUUCUUAUCAACUCAUCCCUCUCUAGCCUCCUCUUGUUUCUUAUGAGUUUCUACAACCUCCAUGAAUCUCUCCAUAAGGAGAUCGCCAAAAUUCAGUCCCGAUUCUACUGGGCCGGCGAGCAUGGCAAGCAGCAGUAUCACAUGGUCAGUUGGCCUGACAUCUGCAAGCCCAGGGAGCAGGGUGGCUUGGGCAUCAUGUGCUCUAAACGGAUGAAUAUUGCCCUCCUAUCCCGGUGGAUGUGGCGCAUCACGCAGGGUCAUGGUGGCCUCUGGCUGGACAUUAUCCGGAAUAAGUACCUGCGCGGUCAACCCCUUGCCUUCUGCCAGAAAUCGGGCGGGUCCCAGUUCUGGCAGUCUCUCGUCCAGCUUCUCCCGGUGCUCCGCAUUGGUACCUCUAUCUCGGUGGGGUCCGGCCUCUCGACGCUAUUCUAG